UACAGAGGUCUCAAGCGUUGUUCGGAUUCAUUGGGCGUAAAGGGUGCGUAGGCGGCGAGGCAAGUCUGGUGUGAAAUCCCGGGGCUCAACCCCGGAACUGCACUGGAUACUGCUUUGCUAGAGUACUGGAGAGGGAACUGGAAUUUACGGUGUAGCAGUGAAAUGCGUAGAUAUCGUAAGGAAGACCAGCGGCGAAGGCGAGUUCCUGGACAGUUACUGACGCUGAGACGCGAAAGCGUGGGGAGCGAACAGG
rnacentral:rRNA from 1 species